GAAGACUGACUCUUGAAGAUGUGAUGUAUGCACCUAUUUUUAAUUGUCUAGAAGUGGUAAAGGAGGAUGCCAGGCUCUCUUGUGGAACUGACCUGUGGGGAGAUUCUGUGUUCACAUUUCCAUUGACCAUGGCCAGAUGUCCCAACACCCGAAAUAAAAAUGACUUUGUUUGAUCGACCAACUUCUGCUCCACACGCCUGGAUAAUUAACAGAGAGAUCUACAAAGAGCUGCAACUUCAAGGAGUUUUCAGAGAGAUUCAGAUGCCAUAUGAACCAUUUACGUACGUGGUCUUGAAUAUGGACUCAUCAGCCCAAGUGACUCCUCUAAAUUUUCCUUAAGGAGUC